rnacentral:lncRNA from 1 species
UGACUCGUCUCGCGUGUGUCUGGCUUUUGCAGGAAAUAGUGAUGCCUCAGAUGUGGGCAUUCUAGGAAAUAUCCAACAAGCAACGUUGGAGGUGGUGUACGAUGUUGCCGGAGGGAAGCUAGGAUUUGGCCCUGGUGGAUGUUAAGGGGCAUAUGCAUAUACAUCUACAGAAAGCAUAUGGUGUGUGACAAUAAUUUGGACUUUCAGCGAAAGAAAUUUGCUGAUAAAAUUUAUAGGGAUUGCCUAAGCUUGUGCAAUGGUUGUCAGCAGGAAAAUUGCACUUUUCCUAAAAAUUAAUCAAAUUUUAGAUUAACGACUCAUUAUUGGAUACAUGCUAUGAUCUUAGCAAAUAUACCACAAUAACCAUUCCGAAGAUUGGUUUUACUUUCGAUGGCAAUGUGAAAGUGGAUAUAGUGGCUUCGGGAAUACUUUAUACUAUUGACUCGUCUCGCGUGUGUCUGGCUUUUGCAGGAAAUAGUGAUGCCUCAGAUGUGGGCAUUCUAGGAAAUAUCCAACAGGCAACGUUUGAGGUGGUGUACGAUGUUGCCGGAGGGAAGCUAGGAUUUGGCCCUGGUGAAUGUUAAGGGGCAUAUGCAUAUACAUCUACAGAAAGCAUAUGGUGUGUGACAAUAAUUUGGACUUUCAGCGAAAGAAAUUUGCUGAUAAAAUUUAUAGGGAUUACCUAAGCUUGUGCAAUGGUUGUCAGCAGGAAAAUUGCACUUUUCCUAAAAAUUAAUCAAAUUUUAGAUUUGAUCUUCGCCAUUUGAGAUACCUGCAUAAUUAUUUUUUCUUCUAGUCGCAAUAGAGGGGGAAAAAUUGAAUGGUUAUUCAAUACUGUAUCUUGACUCGUAUGAACAAAUUGAACAAAUUGCAUGGCCAUUCAAUAUUGCAUAGCAAGCAUGUCUAAGUGUCAAUGACGCUAGGUCGGUCGAACAAUUUUGCANNN